rfam:Punica granatum cultivar Dabenzi scaffold311, whole genome shotgun sequence.
AUCUUUGCGCUUGGGGCAAUGACGCAGCUAAUGAGGUUCUAACCGAGGCGCGUCAAUUGCUGGUUGAAAACUAUUUCCAAACCCCCUCUUCGGCCUGGGCCUCGCCCCUGUGCCGUUGAGAAUUUCUGGAAGGGCUCCCCUCCCUCGGAGGGGUUAAAGCC